GCUACUGAAGUGAGCUUUGAAAUUUCUCGAUUAAUAGCGAAAAGUUGUCGGCCCUUCAAAGAUAGCGAAUUUGUUAAUAAAAUGUGUCCGGAAAUGGCCAAGAAGUUUGAGAAAAUUCAACUCAAUCGGAUGACCAUUCAAAGAAGGAUCACGGCUUUAUCGACUGAUAUAGAACAGCAGUUAGGUAUAAAAUCUAAAAACUUUGAGUUUUUUUCAUUGGCACUUGACGAAUCUACUGAUUUUAGUUCUACUGCUCAACUCUUAUCUUACGAGGUGUGACGCAAGAUUUUGAAGUCUGUGAAGAGCUGAUUGGUAUGAGUUCUUUCACAAGUCAAACAAAAGGAAGUGACAUGCUCACGGCCCGUCUGCAAGAAUGCUCUAAAAUGGAUUCAAAUUCAACAAAAUUAUCUGGAAUUACGACUGACGGAGCUCCUUCAAUGGUUGGGAGCAAAUCUGGGAUAAUAACUUUGUUCAAAGAAUAUUUGAAAAGUCUAAACAUAGACACGGAAGAAAUAAUGCAGUUCCAUUGCAUUAUACAUCAAGAGGCCCUCUGUGCAAAAAUAUUGGGAUUUGAAGACUUGAUGAAGGUUAUUGUUACAACAAUAAAUUUUAUAAAAUCUUGCGGUCUUAAUUACUGAUAGUUCAAAAAAUUUCUCGAAGACAUUGACAGUGAAUAUGGUGAUCUGUUAUUUUAUACUGAAGUAAGGUGAUUAAGUCGUGGAUUGACACUGGAGAGAUUUCUUAAUUUGAUAGAAAAAAUCAAAAUAUUUCUGACGGAAAAGAAAAGAGAACUCGUCAAUCCUGACUGGUUGUGUGACUUAGCUUUUCUAGUCGAUAUCACUAGUCAUUUGAAUAUCUUAAACACGCGCUUCCAGAGUAAGGAUCAACUGAUUUCUAAACUGUACGCUCAUGUAUCGUCUUUCAAAUGCAAGUUGAGUCUUUUCAGGUCCCAAAUAAAUUCAGCUAAUUACGCCCAUUUCCCAACCUAUAAAAAAUUUGCAGAGAACAUUUCCCCUGAGAAUGCACCCUAGUCAAUGCAGCUGGAAUUAAUAGACAUUCAAAAUAAUGAGAAUUUAAAAAACAAAUUUAUUGAAGGAAUUUUACUCAACUUCUACAGUUGCCUUGAUAAAAACAAUUACAAAGAAUUGCGAAAAAACGCACUAAAAUGCAGCAGCCUAUUUGGUUCAACCUAUAUAUGCGAACAAACGUUUUCUCUCAUGAAUCUCAACAAAAUGAAAAAUAGGAACCGCUUAGCUCAUUGGCUAAGUUUGGAAGCAAUUUUACGUGUGGCGACAUCUAAUUUGGAGCCAGAUAUUAAAAGAUUCGUGAAAUUUAUGCAGUGUCAUGCAUCAAAGUGAACUUUUAGUUACAUAACAAUUAAGUUUAGUUUUAUAAGUUUAAUUAAGUUUGUUUUUGAUAUUAUAUAGUUAUAUUUAAUUUUUAAUAUAAAUAAAUAUGUAUAUUAAAAUUAUAUUUAUUUACAUUUAUAUAAAUAAUUAAAUAUUUAAAUAUUCAGUUAGUUUUGGAAUUAUAUUAUUUGAAAUUAAAUAUUAUCCGGCUGUUUUUGUUCAGAAUUCAAUCCAUGACAGCAAUAUUUUUAUUUCUAUGGACACAAGAAAAGAUCAGAAGACCAGAAGAUCAUUCUGGGAUCAUUACAACUUCAAGCCAAUGUGAUCCCAGAAGAAAAACAAUACGAAAAGAGAACACACACAAAUACACACACACACACACAUGUUGUCAAUCUCUACAGCAAAUUUGUUAUACAUAUCGGGUGCGGAAAAUUGAGGGCGAAUGAUGAUGAUGAUGAUUUUUAUUUGUAGCGGCCCGCCUUUGGAUCUUAAUCCCUCAAGGGGCCUCUGUUUUAGAUAAUUCUGUGCACCCCUGCUCUAAACGAAUAAUCGAGUCUGACAUUGUUGUUCAAACAGUCCCUAAUUAAUUAUCCAAUAUUAUUAAAUUAUAUUAAAAUUGAAAUUACACCCCUUUUCUGUUGCAUCUAAAAACUCUGUAUAUCUCAUACAUAAUUGGUUUUUUAUAAAGUUGAUUCAGUUUCAAGUGCUUGUCCAAGAAAAAUGUCAUUUAAAUUUGCUAUCCAUAGAUACUUCGAUCAAAUAGAUCACAACAAACAAGAAAAUAUCAAGUCACCGGAGAGGUCCCCAAAUCUCGCUACUAGGGCAACUUCUCUGGAACGUUAUAUACGACGUUAUUUAAGUAUUGUUGAUAAUUAAUACUAAUACCAACAUGGGUCAUUUUGGAGAAAUUUCGACUCAACAAAUAACAAAAAAUAUGGAAAAAUCAAUCCCGCAAUCCACAAAAAUACUAAAGCGUCAGUAUGGAGACAAACAAAAGUUUUCUCGAAUUUACGAACUAUCGAAAAUAAUUCCAUUACAAAAAGUAGCAAAUAUAUUAAAUUAUCGGGCCUAUAAUAUGAAAAAGAGGAAUGGAGAAGAUUAUUAAUCAUAUGCAGUUAAAUCAAUUUGGAAUUCAACUGCGAAGAUGAUUCCAGAAAAAUAUUUCAAUGAAUACAAUAUUAAAUUUGAUCCUUUUACUGACAAUUUUUAAAGAAGCUCGUGAUGUGAGAAAUAGUAAACGGGAAGAAUUACAAGUUAUUCCAGAGAAAAGAAAAGUAAGUUCUGUAGCUGUAGCAUUGAACAAGAAAGAUAUAGUAAAAUAGCAAAAUUGUGGAAUAUAGACAACCCAGAGGAAUUACAAAAAAUAUUCUUUCAUAUAACUUCUUAUGAAUUAGAUUGGAGGGGGGAGAAGCUGCAAACUGUAAAAUUUACAAUUUUAAAGAAGACAAAAACUUCAACAAGAAGAUUUAAGUACAAUACAAUAUUUUCAAAGACGAAACAGGGUGGUUCGAAAAAAAUUGGCAGACAGCAAAUGGAUAACAAAAAAUUAAUGAAAUGAAAUGAAGGUAUUUGUCCCGUUGUUAAAAUUACUGUUACAAAAAAGAAA